AGGGAAUGAAAAGAUUUUAUUUGCAUUUUAAAGGCACAAGAACCUCUAAACUGUUCUACAAGUAGGUGCAGGGGCUUCAGGAGUAAAACUGGCAAUGCCAGUAGUAGCCAGUAUUUAAUACUUUUAAUGUGUGUCAGAUGUUGUGCUAAGUGCUUUAUAUACAUUAUUUUAUUUAUAUACGUUAGUUUUAUUGAUUUGCAGCACAUUUCACAGAAGAGACUGUUUUAGAGGUUCAGUGGCCAAAUUAAUGGAGGGAAGGCUGCCAUGGACAAAUUGGCCAGCAUUUCUUCUCUGGAUUAUUGCGGUAGCCUCCCACCAGAUCUCCAGUUCCAUCCUUGCCCCCCUUCCCCUGCCUGACACACACACACAGUCUUAACACAGCAGCCAAAGUGAUCCUAACUAAAACAUUAGUCAGAAUGAGUCACUCUUUGGCUCCGCAUCUCGGAGUGAAAGCCAAAGUCCUUACAAUGGUGGAUAAUCUACUCUUCCCCACCUCAGUGCUUCAAGCACCCUGGCUGCCACUGUACCACAAGCAUGCUGAGCAAGCUCCAGAAUCACUCCCCUUCUGUGUGCACCACCACCUUAACUAUUUGCAAGAGUGCUCAGACUGCUGCCAGAGCCUCCCAGCUGCUCUCCCUGCCUCCACUCUUGCCCCCACCCUGCAGUUAGGGUUUUGGAAAAUCAUUGUUUUUUUUUUCUCCUCUUCUCUUUUUUUGGAUGAUGAUAUUUGAAAAAUAUAUUUCAGAUUAUAUCACUUGCCUGCUUAACACUCAAAAACUCUAUCAUUUGGUCCAUCUGUAAACUGGCCACUGCCCACGUGUCUAAAUGUAUCCCCCGCCUUGCUCACUUCAACCACACUGCUGUUCUCUUCAGUUCCUGAAGCCUGCCAUUCACAUCUCCCCCUUGCCUUAGGGCCUUUGUAACUCCUGCUCCUUCUGCCUAUCACUCCAUUCUCCUAGAUCAACCUGGCUGGCCCACGUAUCACCUCGAUGAACCUUUCUCUGAUCUGCCUCCCUUAACUGCCUCAAAGUUACUCAUUAUUACAUUACCUCUGUUUUAGUUUCCUCCUGGUCCUUAGCACUGUCAGCAGUCAAGCAGUCCUUAAAUGGCAACUACUACAGUUGCUAGGUUGGACUUGCUACUUUGCCAUAGAUUCUGCAGGGAAGGAAAGAGCCCAAGUGAAUACACAUAGUUUAUUACUUAGUAUGAGCAAGAUCAUGAUGUUAGCUUCCCUCAUCCCCAGUCCCACAGGAUGACACCAAACCAGAAAGGACAGAUGACACAAGUAGUGGAUUGCCCUAUUGUGAACGAGCUGGCUCCAUAUUCCAGCUAAAUGAUUUUACAGCCUGCAGCUCUACCCUAAGUGGGGAGGCAAGUUUGAAAGUCUCAUGCCUCACCAGCACCAGGGAGACAGGACUGGUAUCCUUAUAAGAAAAGGAAGACACACCAAGGAUGUAUGAAAAGGCCUAAUGAGGACACAGCAAGAAAAGUGGCCAUCUAUAAGCCGAGAGAGGUCUCAGGAGAAACCAACCAUGAUGGCACCUUGACCUUGGACUUCUAGCCUCCAGAACUGUGAGAAAAAUUUCUGUUAUUGGCUUAAAUAAUAGUCUGCAGUAUUCUGUUAGGGCACCUUGAAUCAUACAACACUUGGUUUCCUUCCUUCUACCUUU